UUUAUUCAUAGUUCUUACAAGAUAGUGGACUUUACACUCAAGAGUUUUACAGUUUUCACAAGGUUUUGAGUGACACAAACAAGAAGACUUUUUGCAAUGCAUUUCAAGAUUUUCAAAAUCAAUUUUUGAAUUUUCCAAUUCUUCUUCAAGUGGCUUGACUCUGUUUUCAAACCAGUUAUUUAACUCUUUCAACCGGUUGUUCAAGAGAGUCAAUCGGUUAGCUUCUUC
rnacentral:lncRNA from 1 species